GCGUCCGUACUGGCUGCGCAAGUCCGUCGGGAAAUCCACUCGCCCAACGAGUGGGCGUCCGACGGAAACUGCACAGCUUGGGACCGGAAGGCUCGAAGGGUACGUUCGGGGUAGGAGUGAAAUCCCAUAAUCCCGCACGGACCAGCGAUGGCGAAAGCACUUCGAGAAAACGGAUCCGACAAUGAGGGACGAAAGCCAGGAUCUCCAAC
rnacentral:rRNA from 1 species